rnacentral:lncRNA from 1 species
AAAAUAAUUCCCGAAAGCCCUAGUCACUCUCCUCCACCAUUGUCACCAUCUCAAGCCACCAUUCUCGAUCGUUCAUACCAAUCUCAACUGCUUUAUUGGCAGCCCAUUUUCAUUAUUUAUCCUUCAUUUAAUUAAUAAAUGAGUCCUAUUUCUAUUACUAGUAGGUCAAUUAGUGACUAGGAGUUAGUGGUACGAUGGUUUGAGGCGGUAACGGUGGUGGUGGGAAGUAAUUAGAAUUUCUAGCAUUAUAUUUUUAUUUUAAUUGUUUUUUUUAUUUGAUAAUCAAAUAAUAAGAGCUGUUGAAAAAAAAAAUUAGUACGUCAAAUAUCAGGAUCAGGCUACGGUGUAACUGUGGUACCUGACAUCCAACUGCUGUAUGUAACUAUAAUACGAUACCGCAGUUACACCACAGGUUUCUCCCAAAUAUCAUCGCCUUUGAAAAAAGUUCAAAAAAAUAAAACGCUCUUUUGAACGGCCCCAAAGGAAAAAGAGAUUUUGCUGAAUGGGGUCUUAGCUGCAUCAGUACUUGCCCAUAUACGCUCAAGAAGGGGACAUUGGAUACCAUUUCCAGUUGAAAGGGGCCAACGUGAAGUCAUGGCGAUUUUCUGAGGGGAGUUGGUACACAGGCUAUACAACGAACCUUCUCCACAACAUUAAACAAGAAUUCUCGUUUCUUUAUUCUUAGCUCAUGUCAUGUGCAAAGGAAAUUAUUUGUGUAAGUAUUUGGAUAAUAAUAUAAACAAUUGUGCACAAGCAAAUAUUGUGAAAUGGCAUUAUUGGCUAUAAAAUUAAAAGCAGAAUUCGUGAGUCUGCUUGUCGGCUGUAGCCCAAAUCUUGCUUCUUAUCUUUUAAAGAUAUAUGAUAUGUCUACGUCUUACCUAUAAUAAAAAAUAAAAAAUUAAAGGUUACAAACAAAUAAAGAAAAUAAAUUAAUCUCUUGGAAAUGGGUCUUGUUAUGUUGUCCAUAACAAAUUAUUCGUUUAUAAUUUACUAUAUUUUUGUUACAUACAUGUAAUAAGUCAUCAUAACAUGAAUGGCAUAACUAAAAAAAAAAAAGACAUAAAUCAUACGUAUAAUGAAAUAGUUGUUACUAACAACAAAACAAUUGUUAUAAAUAACGAGAGAUGGAGUAGGUAUAAGGUGUAGUUGAUGCACCAUAAUCACGCCUCUAGGAAUUAUAAAUUAGAUCUGUUUGAUAUGCCGUAUCUAAUGGUCAUAAGUGCUUAUUUAAUUUUAUAAGUUCUUAUAAAAAAUAUUGUUCUUAUUUAGUUGUUUUUUUAGUUGAGCUUUUGAAGCUUAAUAGGCUACUUUGACUCUAAUAAUAAAAACUUAAAUUUUGGGAUUUUGGGUGUAAAUGUUGAAUUUUUUUUUUAAAUAUUAGAAAAUCUAGAAUAUUCUCUACUUAUUUGAUGAUCUUAUUUUACUUUUUUCAUAACAUAACUUUAAAAAACUUGUUUAUUU